rnacentral:rRNA from 1 species
GACGAACCGUACGAACGUUAUUCGGAAUUACUGGGCUUAAAGGGUGUGUAGGCUGCGCGGAAAGUUGGGCGUGAAAUACCUCAGCUUAACUGAGGAACUGCGUUCAAAACUACCGUGCUUGAGGGAGGCAGAGGUAAGCGGAACUGAGGGUGGAGCGGUGAAAUGCGUUGAUAUCCUCAGGAACACCGGUGGCGAAAGCGGCUUACUGGGUCUCUUCUGACGCUGAUGCACGAAAGCUAGGGUAGCAAACGGG